AACGAACGCUGGCGGCAUGCCUAACAUAUGCAAGUCGAACGAGCUCUUCGGGUCUAGUGGCGCACGGGUGCGUAACGCGUGGGCAUCUGCCUCAUCGCUCGGAAUCACAGAUGGAAACGUCCGCUAAUCCAGGAUGACGACGAAAGCCCAAAGAUUUAUCGCAAGAGGAUGAGCCCGCGUAGGAUUAGCUAGUAGGUGUGGUAAAGGCGCACCAAGGCGACGAUCCUGAGCUGGUCUGAGAGGUGGAUCAGCCACACUGGGACUGAGACACGGCCCAGACUCCUACGGGAGGAAGCAGUGGGGAAUAUUGGACAAUGGGCGAAAGCCUGAUCCAGCAAUGCCGCGUGAGUGAUGAAGGCCUUAGGGUUGUAAAGCUCUUUUACCCGGGAUGAUAAUGACAGUACCGGGAGAAUAAGCUCCGGCUAACUCCGUGCCAGCCGCCGCCGUAA
rnacentral:rRNA from 1 species